GAUUAGCCUGUAUUGUAUCAGUUAGUUGGUGGGGUAAUGGCUUACCAAGACUAUGACACAUAACUGGUUUGAGAGGAUGAUCAGUCACACUGGAACUGAGACACGGUCCAGACUCCUACGGGAGGCAGCAGUGGGGAAUAUUGCACAAUGGACGAAAGUCUGAUGCAGCAACGCCGCGUGGAGGAUGACACAUUUCGGUGCGUAAACUCCUUUUAUAUGAGAAGAUAAUGACGGUAUUAUAUGAAUAAGCACCGGCUAACUCCGUGCCAGCAGCCGCGGUAAUACGGGGGGUGCAAGCGUUACUCGGAAUCACUGGGCGUAAAGAGCAUGUAGGCGGAUUAAUAAGUUUGAAGUGAAAUCCUAUAGCUUAACUAUAGAACUGCUUUGAAAACUGUUAAUCUAGAAUGUGGGAGAGGUAGAUGGAAUUUCUGGUGUAGGGGUAAAAUCCGUAGAGAUCAGAAGGAAUACCGAUUGCGAAGGCGAUCUACUGGAACAUUAUUGACGCUGAGAUGCGAAAGCGUGGGGAGCAAACAGGAUUAGAUACCCUGGUAGUCCACGCCCUAAA
rnacentral:rRNA from 1 species